rnacentral:ribozyme from 1 species
UUUCACCAGAUGAAUACCAAAAAUGAAGAGAAUAAGAAAAAAACAAAAGAGCUUUCUCUCGAGUCAUCUCUUCGGAGCUUACUCCCCCCCCUCUCUCUCUCUCUCUUUUUUUCUCUCGUUCGGUUUUUGUUGAAACGGGACAAUUUAUUCAUGUUUGCGUUGAGAGCGUAGACAAAGGGGGACCGGGAAUUGAUUUUCAUUUUGCUUC